rnacentral:rRNA from 1 species
GCUCGCGUCUUUUCACAAACUCUUUUGUAUGUCUUUAAGAAUGUAUACUUCGAUGUAAUAAAAACGCAUCUAAUACAACUUUCAACAACGGAUCUCUUGGCUCUCGCAUCGAUGAAGAACGCAGCGAAAUGCGAUAAGUAAUGUGAAUUGCAGAAUUCAGUGAAUCAUCGAAUCUUUGAACGCACCUUGCGCCCUUUGGUAUUCCGAAGGGCACACCUGUUUGAGUGUCGUGAAAUUCUCAACCCUCUUCACUUUUGUGAAGGCAAGGGCUUGGACUUGGAGGCUUUGCCGGGCUCUUUUUGCUCGGCUCCUCUCAAAUGCAUUAGUGCGUCUCGUUGCGAUGUGCGCCUCGGUGUGAUAGUUAUCUACGCUGCGUGUGUGCUCGCUUCUUGUGGGACGUGCUUCAAACCGUCCGAUUAAAGGACAAUCAUCUCGAAACUUGACCUCAAAUCA